rnacentral:lncRNA from 10 species
CAUGCCUGUAAUCCCAGCACUUUGGGAGGCUGAGGCAGGUGGAUUGCCUGAGGUCAGGAGUUCAAGACCAGCCUGACCAAUAUGGUGAAACCCCGUCUCUAAUAAAAAUACAAAAAUUAGCCGGGUGUGGUGGCAUGCGCCUGUAGUCCCACCUACUCAGGAGGCUGAGACAGGAGAAUUGCCUGAACCUGGGAGGCAGAAGUUGCAGUGAGCCGAGAUCACGCCACUGUACUACAGCCUAGGUGACAGAGCAAAACUCAGUCUCAAAAAAAAAAAAAAAAAAAGAUAUUGCAGAAAUGACAGUGUGACUCCAAGACUAGGCCAUAAAAGACCUUGUGGCUUCUGCCUUGCUCUCUCUUGCUUUGCUCAUUUUGAGGGAAGCUAGCCACUAUGUCAUAACGACACUUGGUAACCAUGUGUAGAGGCUCACAUGGCAAGAAACUGAAACCUGCCAACAACCAGCACCAGUUUGCCAGCUAUGUGAGAGAAGCACCUUGGAAGUUGGUCAUCCAGCCCUGGUCAAGCCUUCAGAUGGCUGCAACCCCAUGAAAGACCCUGAGUCAGAACCACCCAGCUAAGCCACUCUCAAAUUCCUACCAAAAGAAAUUAUGUGAGAUAAUGUUUACUGGUGUUGCAAGCUGCUACGUUUGGAGGUAAUUGUUAUACUGCAAUAGAUAACAUGUAGGUACUCAUUAAUUAUUUGUUAAUGACAAAUGAAUAAAUGAAUGAUGAAGGCUGUGGUUUCUCCCCUUACUGUGUUUUGCGGAUAUUUAAUUUCCAGAUAAACACCCCGAGCCUAAGGAACCUCAUGUUCCAGCUUUCCAUAUAAGGAUAGAGUCUUCACGAAUUCUUGAAAGAUAAGUAGGGUAGAAACCAUCUGUAAGAAACAUUUAGAGGGAAAUCAAAUUGCUAAUCUCAGCUGAUCUGGGUUCUCAAUUCUGCCAAGUUAAGGACACCAUAUAUAUUUUUGGGACAAAAUGCAAAAUAAGAAUAAGCCAUGUGCAACUGUAUAAUGUCACUGUCCUAGAAAAAGUACAUGUGCUAGUCUUUAAAUAUAUCAGCUUUGAAAUGCCACUUAUGGAUUGUUUCUAUGGUACCAACCUAUUUAAAGUUGUAACUAAGUGACGAUAUUUUUUUCCCGAAAUCUUUUGUAGGCAAUAUGGAAAGUGUGCUGUAUGGCAUAGGCUGUAGAAAUAAGAGGUUAGGAAUGUGGACUCUGGGGUUAUAACAAACUACCUUAGAAGGCUGAAGAAUCAAAGAGAUGAUGUCUGCAGAGUUUGGCUCUGUGGCCCUGAACACACAGGAAUCAUGAUGUGGGACCCCAUGCAUGGUUUUGCAAAGAAAGCACCUGCCUGGGAGUUUGAGCUCCUGGGUUUCAGGCCUGGCCCUGUCCUUAAACUCACUGUGUGGUGCUG